ACGGCAGCACGAGAGAGCAAUCCUGGUGGCGAGUGGCGAACGGGUGAGUAAUAUAUCGGAACGUGCCCAGUCGUGGGGGAUAACGCAGCGAAAGCUGUGCUAAUACCGCAUACGAUCUACGGAUGAAAGCGGGGGAUCGCAAGACCUCGCGCGAUUGGAGCGGCUGAUAUCAGAUUAGCUAGUUGGUGGGGUAAAGGCCUACCAAGGCGACGAUCUGUAGCUGGUCUGAGAGGACGACCAGCCACACUGGAACUGAGACACGGUCCAGACUCCUACGGGAGGCAGCAGUGGGGAAUUUUGGACAAUGGGCGCAAGCCUGAUCCAGCAAUGCCGCGUGCAGGAUGAAGGCCUUCGGGUUGUAAACUGCUUUUGUACGGAACGAAAAGGUCUUUCUUAAUACGAGAGAUUUAUGACGGUACCGUAAGAAUAAGCACCGGCUAACUACGUGCCAGCAGCCGCGGUAAUACGUAGGGUGCGAGCGUUAAUCGGAAUUACUGGGCGUAAAGCGUGCGCAGGCGGUUUUGUAAGACAGAUGUGAAAUCCCCGGGCUCAACCUGGGACCUGCAUU
rnacentral:rRNA from 1 species